rnacentral:rRNA from 1 species
UUGAACGCUGGCGGCAUGCUUUACACAUGCAAGUCGAACGGUAACAGGUUAAGCUGACGAGUGGCGAACGGGUGAGUAAUGCAUCGGAACGUGCCCGAUCGUGGGGGAUAACGCAGCGAAAGCUGCGCUAAUACCGCAUACGAUCUGAGGAUGAAAGCGGGGGACCGUAAGGCCUCGCGCGAUCGGAGCGGCCGAUGUCAGAUUAGGUAGUUGGUGGGGUAAAGGCUCACCAAGCCGACGAUCUGUAGCUGGUCUGAGAGGACGACCAGCCACACUGGGACUGAGACACGGCCCAGACUCCUACGGGAGGCAGCAGUGGGGAAUUUUGGACAAUGGGCGCAAGCCUGAUCCAGCCAUGCCGCGUGAGUGAAGAAGGCCUUCGGGUUGUAAAGCUCUUUCAGACGGAAAGAAAUCGGGCGCGUGAAUAGCGUGCCUGGAUGACGGUACUGUCAGAAGAAGCACCGGCUAACUACGU